rnacentral:rRNA from 1 species
GCUGGCGGCGUGCUUUACACAUGCAAGUCGAGCGAGGCCGGGUAGCAAUACCCGAGUCGAGCGGCGAACGGGUGAGUAACGCGUGGAUGACCUGCCCUUUAGUGUGGAAUAACCCGGGGAAACUCGGGCUAAUACCGCAUAAGACCGAGAGGUGAAAGGGGGCUCGCAAGAGCUCUCGCUGGAGGAGGGGUCCGCGUCCGAUUAGCUAGUUGGUAGGGUAAUGGCCUACCAAGGCCACGAUCGGUAGCCGGCCUGAGAGGGUGAUCGGCCACACUGGAACUGAGACACGGUCCAGACUCCUACGGGAGGCAGCAGUGGGGAAUUUUGCGCAAUGGGCUAACGCCUGACGCAGCAACGCCGCGUGGAGGAUGAAGGUCCUUGGAUUGUAAACUCCUGUCAGCGGGGAAAAAGCGAGGUGACCUCAUACGUCAUCGAGUUGAUUGUACCCGCAGAGGAAGCCCCGGCUAACUCUGUGCCAGCAGCCGCGGUAAUACAGAGGGGGCAAGCGUUAUUCGGAAUUAUUGGGCGUAAAGGGCGCGUAGGCGGCCUUGCAAGUGACGGGUGAAAUCCCUCGGCUUAACCGAGGAACUGCCUGUCAAACUGCGUGGCUUGAGACCA